UCAUGCCUACGGGGCGCAGCAGUGGGGAAUAUUGCACAAUGGGGGAAACCCUGAUGCAGCGACGCCGCGUGAGUGAAGAAGUAUUUCGGUAUGUAAAGCUCUAUCAGCAGGGAAGAUAAUGACGGUACCUGACUAAGAAGCCCCGGCUAACUACGUGCCAGCAGCCGCGGUAAUACGUAGGGGGCAAGCGUUAUCCGGAUUUAUUGGGUUUAAAGGGUGCGUAGGCGGUCCGUUAAGUCAGCGGUAAAAUUGCGGGGCUCAACCCCGUCGAGCCGUUGAAACUGGCAGACUUGAGUUGGCGAGAA
rnacentral:rRNA from 1 species